GGUAGACUUAAUUAAGCAUUCAUUCCUAACUAUUGUCUUUAUGCUGCUGUUUAACUGAAUGGCAUAAAUGUUCUUAAGAAAUGAAUUUAUCGGUAUAAUGAAUUUAUCUUCUAUACACAGAACACUGAAGGAUGACGUGGGAGGACCAGGAUCGAGGCUUUAAAAUGAAUAAAUACUGUGUUUGAAGUUAUGGUGGCCAACUGUAACUGUGAGACACAAACUUGAAAAAGAAAGUCAAUAUGCUAAAAAUGGUAAAGCAGGAUGGAAAAAAAAAUUAAAAACAACCUUUCACCAGACAUUUUGGCUCCAUUCUACAGAAGGAUUUAAAGAAGUCUACAUAAAUACCAGUGAUACAAAAGGAUGAUAUUAAUGGCCAAAGGACUCUGAUUGAAGGAAAAAUGUGAUUAAGAUUUUUAAAAGCCUAUGAGAAAGGUUAGCAUGCAAAAAUGCACAGUUAAUGUUCCUAUCCAGUUAAGAAUACUGGUCAUGAACUUGGCUCAAAUCUCCUGAUAGCUAAAACAAAAUGAUGGCAUUAUUUAUGUGAAAGUAUUGUUAAUGAAU
rnacentral:lncRNA from 1 species